rnacentral:rRNA from 1 species
GACGAACGCUGGCGGCGUGCCUAAUACAUGCAAGUCGAACGGUCUUUUCUAUGGAAGCUUGCUUCCACUGGGAAGAUAGUGGCGAACGGGUGAGUAACACGUGGGUAACCUGCCCAUAAGAGGGGGAUAACAUCCGGAAACGGGUGCUAAUACCGCAUAGUUUUUCUGAUCGCAUGAUCGGGAAAGGGAAGACGGCCUUUGUGCUGUCGCUUAUGGAUGGACCCGCGGCGUAUUAGUUAGUUGGUGAGGUAAUGGCUCACCAAGACGAUGAUACGUAGCCGACCUGAGAGGGUGAUCGGCCACAUUGGGACUGAGACACGGCCCAAACUCCUACGGGAGGCAGCAGUAGGGAAUCUUCCGCAAUGGACGAAAGUCUGACGGAGCAACGCCGCGUGAGUGAAGAAGGUUUUCGGAUCGUAAAACUCUGUU